GGAAUCUUCCGCAAUGGACGAAAGUCUGACGGAGCAACGCCGCGUGAGUGAUGAAGGUUUUCGGAUCGUAAAGCUCUGUUGCCAGGGAAGAACGCCUAGGAGAGUAACUGCUCCUAGGGUGACGGUACCUGAGAAGAAAGCCCCGGCUAACUACGUGCCAGCAGCCGCGGUAAUACGUAGGGGGCGAGCGUUGUCCGGAAUUAUUGGGCGUAAAGCGCGCGCAGGCGGCAAUGUAAGUUGGGUGUUUAAACCUAGGGCUCAACCUUGGGUCGCAUCCAAAACUGCAUAGCUUGAGUACAGAAGAGGAAAGUGGAAUUCCACGUGUAGCAGUGAAAUGCGUAGAUAUGCGGAGGAACACCGAUGGCGAAGGCAGCCUCCUGGGAUAACACUGACGCUCAUGCACGAAAGCGUGGGGAGCAAACAGGA
rnacentral:misc_RNA from 1 species